AGCUUUGCGCAGUGGCAGUAUCAUAGCCAAUGAGGUUUAUCCGAGGCACGAUUAUUAUUGCUAAUUAAAAUGUAAAAGGAUCCC
rnacentral:snRNA from 1 species